CCUACGGGGGGGCAGCAGUGGGGAAUUUUGGACAAUGGGCGAAAGCCUGAUCCAGCAAUGCCGCGUGCAGGAUGAAGGCCUUCGGGUUGUAAACUGCUUUUGUACGGAACGAAAAAGCUCCUUCUAAUACAGGGGGCCCAUGACGGUACCGUAAGAAUAAGCACCGGCUAACUACGUGCCAGCAGCCGCGGUAAUACGUAGGGUGCGAGCGUUAAUCGGAAUUACUGGGCGUAAAGCGUGCGCAGGCGGUUAUGUAAGACAGAUGUGAAAUCCCCGGGCUCAACCUGGGAACUGCAUUUGUGACUGCAUGGCUAGAGUACGGUAGAGGGGGAUGGAAUUCCGCGUGUAGCAGUGAAAUGCGUAGAUAUGCGGAGGAACACCGAUGGCGAAGGCAAUCCCCUGGACCUGUACUGACGCUCAUGCACGAAAGCGUGGGGAGCAAACAGGAUUAGAUACCCCAGUAGUC
rnacentral:rRNA from 1 species